rnacentral:lncRNA from 1 species
GUAAAGUUAAAUCAUAUACUCAUUUCUACUUCUUUUUUCCCCAUCCCCUUAUAUUAUUUCAUGUUUCCCUUUUUGAAAAUCAUGUUUGUGUUGAGAUUUUUUUUUAUAGUGGACUACGUUACGUACCCUUUUUAUUUUCAUUUGUGAUAAAAUUGUUUGAGAACUAUAUAGGGAGUGAUCUUUAUAUAUUGAUGAGAACUGUAGCCGUUCAAACUCUCUAUAUUAACUUUAUUUUCCCUUUUGCAAAUUUGCUAUGUUUUAAUAUUUGCACCCCCCAAAAAAAAAAAAUCUCAAUUCAAUAAAAACUACAAUUUCCAUAGAAGAAAGUAACUAAAUUAUAUCUUAAGACAAAUUGGUACAAUAUUUGAUUUUC